UCGAGAUCAUUGCCUUCGCUUCGUGACACGUUUCAAUCCUUACAUGCAGCCAAGAAGUUGGUUAGCCUGGUUGUUGAUCUUUUUAGUACAGAUGCACUUGAUGUUGCUAUUGAAUUCAAGGUGUCACCUUAUCUUUUUUUCCCUUCGACUGCUAUGGCCUUGUCAUUGUUUCUCUAUCUGCCUAAGCUUGAUAAAAUGACUAGUUGUGAGUAUAGAGACUUGCCUGAGCCGGUUCAGAUUCCGGGGUGUAUUCCGGUCCAUGGGAGGGAUCUACCUGGCCCGGUUCAAGAUAGGAAGACUGAGGCUUAUAAGUGGGUGCUUCAUCAUGUGAAGAGGUAUAGUUUGGCUGAUGGAAUAAUGGUGAAUAGCUUCAUGGACUUGGAGGGAGGAGCUAUCAAAGCUUUACAAGAAUUGGGUAGACCACCGGUUUACCCGGUCGGACCGCUCAUUCAAAGGGAUCAUUCAACUACAGGUGCUGAUGGGUUGGAUUGUUUAAGGUGGUUGGAUGAUCAGCCUAGUGGCUCUGUCUUGUUUGUCUCAUUUGGCAGCGGGGGGACUCUGACGACUAAUCAGAUUACUGAGUUGGCCUUGGGAUUGGAAAUGAGUGGCCAAAGAUUCUUAUGGGUUCUUAGAAGUCCAAAUGAUGAAUCUGCCAACGCAGCUUUCUUUGAUAGCUAUAGUAAAAAAGACCCCCUUGAUUUCUUACCACAAGGUUUCAUUGACAGAACCAAAGGCCAUGGUCUCGUGGUGCCUGAUUGGGCUCCUCAAGCACAAAUACUUAGUCAUGGCUCAACUGGUGGCUUCUUGACUCACUGUGGCUGGAACUCGAUUCUUGAGACUGUGACGAAUGGCGUGCCUGUGAUUGCAUGGCCACUCUAUGCAGAGCAGAAGAUGAAUGCUGUAAUGCUGAAUGAAGAUCUUAAAGUUGCCCUGAGGCCACAAGUUGGGGAGAAUGGUAUGGUGGGAUGUGUUGAAAUCGCAAAGCUCGUCAAGGGUUUGAUUGAAGGAGAAGAAGGUAAGGGUCUUCGAGCCAGGAUGAGAGACCUGAAAGAUGCAGCCGUCAAGGUUCUUGGUGAAGACGGAUCAUCAACAAAAGCCAUGGCUCAAGUAGUUAGCAAAUGGUGUAUUUAAGGUUAUCAUUUACUUUCAGAAGUUUUUAGCUUGCUUUCUUGUUAAAUAUUUUACCGAGUCUCCUUUCUUAAGUUUCAGAAACUACAUGAAACAUCUAGCCACAACAUAAACUGAAAGAAACUACACAGAAAUUUUAUGUUACAAGACUAUUAGUGACAUGGCAAUGCGUAAGAUUGAGCUAGAAGAAUUUGUGAAGGCAGCAGUAUCAGAGAAAAAAUCGGUUUUAAGACUGUUUGAUACUGCGCGCCUAUGACUUCGUUUCUCAGGAAAUUCGCGCGGCAGAAGAUCCUGAUGAUUAAUCACCUGCUUCUCAUGUUCCGUGAAUAGCUGGGACAUUGAGGAAUAUCCAGAGGCUUUUCGGGAAACUCAUUUGUCAUUGUUGAGACCUGACGGGCAUCCAGGACCUUGCAGAAGUCCGCAUCCGUUUUCGAUAAUUCUGAUAGGAUCUGGUUGUUGGAAUAAUAUUGAAUAAAUUUUAUAUUAUUAUUUUUGAUUAUGUAACUUUUGUUAAUUAAUUUGUGUAACUCCUAUAAUAAUGACUCAAGUUUAAAUUGUUCACUAAAAAUAAUAAAAUAAUAAUAUAAAAUUUAUUCAAUAUUAUCCCAAAACCGGUGCUAUCAGUUAUGUAACCUUGUUUCUACUUGGAAGAAGGGGUAAGAUUGUCUACAUCUUACCAUAGCCAGACAUAUCAGUAUUUAUAUUUUAGUUAGUUAUGUAAUUUCAUUUUGUUGACAGAUAUCUUGAUUAUCUAUAUUAUAUUAUGUUACUAGUUGUAAAUUAAUAUGUAAUUUGUUGAAGAAAAAGCUUCUUAUUCUAAACCCAACUUCUUUGUAUUUGACACAAGCAAGAUUAGACACUGAAACGUGUUACAAGCUCAAAGAUUAGGAAAAACAGCUACAAUAAUUCAAAAGCAGACUUAUUAUUGAGGCUCAUUUCAUAACACGUGAUAAUAAUGAAGAUAUUAGAGCACUAUCCAAAGUCCUGUAUAAUGGAAGAGUUAGUAGAUCUCCUUUGUCAUUCAUACAACUCUAACUACUCUGAUUUCAUAUUGAUCAAAAACUUAACCCAUACCUAUAUUAUUUUAUGAAAGAUUUUGUGCAUGAAAUAGUGUCUCUUUAUUGGACUGGUAGUUGGCUAGUUGGAGAUGUUUGAUUCAUGAUUAAUGAGAAAGAUAAAUAAUAAUCGAAAUUUUAACUAUGAAUUUUGUGACAUUAAAUGAGAAACUCAAUCCCGAGUGAUUAAAUCAUUCAUUACACUCUUUUUAAGAUACCCAUAUUCAUAUCCCUCGCUAUGGAGCUACCAAAUCCGGCUCAUAAGCCGAUGCUCAUAAGACUAAUACAGUGAAGAUAUUUUUAGAAAUUAUGGUGGGAGUACUGGAUCUCUUAUAUAAGUGAAGUAGUUGUGCAUCUUUUUAUUCCAUUCAUGCACUACAAAUUCUACAAUACAGCUCCAGUUUCAUUUCACUUGGUGUUUAGUUGAAAUGGAGAAACCGUCUCACAUAGCCAUUUUCCCCACUUCUGGAAUGGGUCAUCUCAUUCCACUUGUUCAGUUUGCUAAAAGGCUCAUAAGCCUUCACAAUUUCACUGCAACUUUUAUCAUAGCUACUGAUGGCCCUCUUUCUAAAGCUCAACAAACAUUUCUCGAUUCGUUGCCUAAUGGUUUAGACUAUGUUGUUCUUCCUCCUGUUAAUCUUGAUGAUUUGUCCGAUGAUGUUACGGUCGAAACACGAAUGAUGAUUAUAAUGUCGAGAUCAUUGCCUUCGUUUCGUGACACGUUUCAAUCCUUUCAUGCAGCCAACAAGUUUGCUAGCCUGGUUGUUGAUCUUUUUAGUACAGAUGCACUUGAUGUUGCUAUUGAAUUCAAGGUGCCACCUUAUCUUUUUUUCCCUUCGACUGCUAUGGCCUUGUCAUUGUUUCUCUAUCUGCCUAAGCUUGAUAAAAUGACUAGUUGUGAGUACAGAGACUUGCCUGACCCGGUUCAAAUUCCGGGGUGUAUUCCGGUCCAUGGGAGGGAUCUACCUGGCCCGAUUCAAGAUAGGAAGAGUGAGACUUAUAAGUGGAUGCUUCAUCAUGUGGAGAGGUACAGUUUGGCUGAUGGAAUAAUGGUGAAUAGCUUCAUGGACUUGGAGGGAGGAGCUAUCAAAGCUUUACAAGAAUUGGGUAGACCAAUGGUUUACCCGGUUGGACCGCUCAUUCAAAUGGAUCAUUCAACUACUGGUGCUGAUGAGGUGAAUUGUUUAAGGUGGUUGGAUGAUCAGCCUAGUGGUUCUGUCUUGUUUCUGUCCUUUGGUAGUGGCGGAACUCUGACGGCUAAUCAGAUCUCUGAGUUGGCCUUGGGAUUGGAAAUGAGUGAGCAAGGAUUCUUAUGGGUUCUUAGAAGUCCAAAUGAUGAAACUGCCAACGCAGCUUUCUUUGAUAGCUGUAGUAAAAAAGACCCAAUUGAUUUCUUACCACAAGGUUUCAUUGAGAGAACCAAAGGCCAUGGUCUCGUGGUGCCUGACUGGGCUCCUCAAGCUCAAAUACUUAGUCAUGCUUCAACUGGUGGCUUCUUGACUCAUUGUGGCUGGAACUCCAUCCUUGAGACUCUGACGAAUGGCGUGCCUGUGAUUGCAUGGCCACUCUAUGCAGAACAGAGGAUGAAUGCUGUAAUGCUGAAUGAAGAUCUUAAAGUUGCACUGAGGCCACAAGUUGGGGAGAAUGGUAUGGUGGGACGUGUUGAAAUCGCAAAGCUUGUCAAAGGUUUGAUUGAAGGAGAAGAAGGUAAGGGUCUUCGCGCCAGGAUGAGAGACCUAAAAGAUGCAGCUGUCAAGGCUCUUGAUGAAGAUGGAUCAUCAACAAAAGCCAUGGCUCAAGUAGUUAGCAAAUGGUGUAUUUAAGCUUAUCAUUUAGAUUACUGAUCUAAGUUCAUAUGUUUAUCAUUUACUUUCAGAACUUUAAAGUUUUAAGCUUGUUUUCUUGUUAAAUUUUACCGAGUCCCCUUCCCUAAGUUUUAAGCUUCUUUUCUUGUUAAAUGUUUUGCUAUGUUCCGUUCCUAGUGUAAUUUAAGUCCAUCUGGGGCGUCCGUGGAGAUUAAGUUCAACCAUAAAACUGAAAAAAACUACAUGAAACAUCUAACCACAACCUAACUGAAAGAAACUACAUAAAAUCUCUAACUACAACUAAUCAGACCGAUUAAACAUGCUAACAUGAUACAAGAGGAUGGGUCUUCGAACUCAGAUGGCAAUAAGUGAUGAUGGAGCAACAACCAAUGUCAAAUAGAAAUGAACUGAAGGCUAAAAAUGAAUAAAGGCUCAUCUAAAAUUUGUUGUCUUACGUACAUGGAAUCAGAACUUAGUAGUUUUCCCGUGAAAUGCUUUCAUGGUGUGGUUAAUGCUAAAAAUGAGAAUUUCAAGUAGAUUCUGUACAUAAAUACACAAUUAUUGCUAUAUUUAUGCCAACCAAGAAACAAAAAACUUCCAGAUGAUUAUACAGAACACUCAACAUAUUUAACAAAGCUAGACGCAAUUUAUUACUUCAACAUCAUUCCCAAUACUCAAGUAUAUUCCUAUGUGUAUAGGAAAAUGCUAGAUGUAAUAUUUUGGAUUUAAAAUAAUCUAUAUAAAAUGAGACGUGCUAUUUUUUUUAUUGAUUAUAACUAAAAUAAUAAAAAAUGACCCCCUAAAUAUACACUAAUCCCAUUACCGUCAUAUCAUCAAUGUCACAUUUGUAACAACUUUUUUAUCCAAGUUAGUGACAACCAAUGUCACAUCAUUUUGUAACAAACAUGUAGCAUUACUAUUCUAGGUAAGAAUAUUGAGAAUCACAUGCCAUGUAUAUAUUCAAAACAAAUCGUUCAAAAGCGUGAAACAGAUAGCAAGCCGCAACGCAAUCAGAUAUUUCCAAACCGGACCGGAAGUUCUAAAAAGUUCUCCGAUAUACUGCAACGCAAUCUCAUUUCCUGAGAGUAAUUUCCAGGCUCCCGCAAUAAAUUGUUUGAUGAUUUGGAUUGUGAUAAUUAUGGUAAUACUGCAGAUAUUAAUUUGAAACAUGAUCAUUUUGUAUAUGCAUAUACUUGGGAGCAGUAAAAAAACAGCUGGAACUGAUUUUAAAUAUCUGGACCUUACAAAUUCUUUUCUCUCAAGUAUAUAAGCUACACACUAUAUACUGUAUACUUACUGAUUUUAAAUAUCUGGACCUUACAAAUUCUUUUCUCUCAAGUAUAUAAGCUUGACUCGUUAAAAGUUAAAACCGUCUCGUUUGGCUAAACGAGCCGGCUCGACUCGACUCAUGAAAUUAAACGAGCCGACUUCGGGCAAAGAUUUAGACUCGAUUAGCUAAAUGAACCGGCUCAGCUCGACACAAAUAAACUUAACUCGAAUUAGGCUCGGCUCGAAACUCGACUUGCUCGACUCGAAUUACAGCCCUGACAUCAGGACAUAUUAUCUCCCGAUCUCAAAGAUAUUGUCUGUACAGAUCAUCUCCCGAUCGCAAAGAUAUUGUCUACUCUUUUUAGGGAGAUAGAUAGGAUUUAAAAGAUGCACCACCCAUAUUUCAUGGCAAAAAGAGUUGAAAGUAAGGGGAAAAUUUGUACAGAUUAAAGAAAUAUAGGAAAAAACGGACCCCAAUAUGUUAUGAGCAUAUACUUUUGUGCAUCAGGGCUCUUCACACGAUCAGCAGGAUCAAAGUGGCUCUAGUGACAAAAAUUAAAAUGUCAAUUAUUCAAGUUAAAGCUUCAUAUUCAAACCCAUUUGGAUUUGACACGAGCAACACGCUUUAAACACUGAAACGAAAUUAGACAUAUUAUUUUUUCUCUUCCUAGCUCAUGGUCUUAUGCAUGUUAUUGUCCUCUCAACAUUCUCUACCGAGUUGCAGCAAUUGUUUCUACUUUCCUGGGUUCUGGUUUAGUGAAAAGACCCUACAUCCAAGAAAAAAAAACAGUUUAACAUAAAAAUGUACCCUUCAUUGAACCUUGCAACAUUACAGUGACAGUUCUGUCUUGAUAAUACAAUUUGAGAUGAGAUAAUCCUCAAUAUAAAAAGUAAGUUUUGAGGUACACAAAGGAUCCAGUCCACAGUGACACAUAUCUUCAUGUAUAUACAUAUCAGUCCUCACAUAAGUAUAGACUUAAUCUCUGAAAAAAAAUUAAUAAUGAUGCUCAAGUGUCAAAAUUUCAAAUUUAGACAGAAGAUUAAAACAUUGAGGAAAAAUAGCACUACAAAGUGAACAUCUAUUAAUAAUACACCCUCAAAUAAUUCAAAUAAUAAUUUCCCAGGACAACCACUAGAAGAAAACUGACUAUACAAGCAUUCAACUAAUAAAGAAAAACCAUUCUUAAUAGAGUAAUUUUACAUUCAUUAUUCAGUGUCAAUAGUUUCUAUUGUAAUUUAAUUGAAAGAGAGGUUAUGAACAUUACUUGCCAUCGAUGUCAUUCCUAUAUGUAAUCACAUAUACGAACCUAACAAUUUCAGCAACUCCAAUAACUAUCAAAAAAUUGAAUUCUAGUGUUAACAACAGAACUCACGCUCUAUUGAUAGGAGGGAGCGGAAUGAUGUUUGUACUGUGUGUACAAAUACGGAAAGAAAAUCUAGUCCUAGAAUAUAUGUUUUGAACCCAGAAAUUACGAAAUCAUCUAAAAGGAUUGACAGUAAUAAUUGCUCUAGUGUAGAAUCUGUCCGCACUCAGCAAAUAUUGACAAAGGCCCUGUUUGGCAAUUAGCGGUUAGCGAUUAGCUCUUAGCGAAUGAACUAGUUGUUUUAACUAGCUGAUUGAAGUAGUUCUUUUGACUAGCGGACUGAAUUAGCUGUAUUGGAUGAAACUGUUUACUCCGUCCGUCCCAACCAAUCGUAUACAUUUGGUUAGGACACGGAGACCAAGAAAAAGUGUAAAAAAUGAGUAAAGUUAGAUAAAAAGUGGGUAUAGUGGUGGGACCCAUUUAUAUUUAAUAACAGAUAUGAGAUAGUGGAGGAAAGUAGUGGGUGUAAUAGUGUUUAUAUUAUUAUAGAAUGGAGACAGUGGAAUAAAGUAGUUGGUGUUAUGGUGUUUUGUAUUAUAAAAAUUUACUACUUUUGGAAUGUAUACAAUUGGUGGGACGUCCCAAAAAGGAAACUGUAUACAAAGGAACGGGACGGAAGGAGUAGUAAAUAGCUGUUUGGUUAGCUUUUUGUACUUUUAAUUAGCACAUGUCAAUCCUCUAAUCGAAAAAGCUCGUCCAAGUAGCUUUUUCAGAAUUAGUUUUUUGAGUCCAAACUGCUAAUUCAAUCCGCUAACUACCAAACACUAGUAUUAGAUAAUUCACAUGUCAAACCUAGCCUCAACCUCUAAUUUUUUCCCGCAAACCUCUAACUUCCAAAAAGCACCAAAAUCUUCGGUUUGACUAUUCUUUGAUGACUCGUCCAUCGUUUACCUUUUCAUUUUUUGAUAUGCCGGGAUCACACACAUUACUGAUUCGUUGUGGUUUAUUGCAUCUCACAAUCUACUGAAACAGGGAAAGGGUAACAACUAACAAGUGAAAACUAAAAAAUCUAAUCAUUAGGAAACCUAUCAAACAAAUAAAAAUAGUUCUUUCAAAACAAUUGCAAUUUUUUCCCGAGGCAAUGUAAUCAGACUAAAUCUAUUUUUGCCUCCAAAAAUAGUUUGUAAUCCACCCUUUCAAUUUCCACAAACAUUUAAUCGUAAAUGCUAAUGCUAAAUGGUUGAAGAAAUGCAAUCAAGAGGCAAAGAAACGAAAGUCAUAUCAUUUCUAUCAUUCAUCCCUCUAUUUUGUCUGGCCCUGGUCCCCAGCAGUCGUCCCCAGCAGUCGGCUGCUAGGGACAUCUUAUAUAACCUACUGUUGCUGCGCUGUUGGAUGAAUAUCCAACGACCAGGAUUAUAACAAAUUUUCAAUUCGUCCAGUGCUUUUAACUGCUAGACGGAGAAAAUGACCCCAUCUAAUGCUUAAAAAGCGUUCGUCGAGCGGUUAAAAAGCGCCGGACGUAUUUAAAAAAAUGUUAAAAUCUUGACUGCUGGAUAUUCAUCCAACAACUAGAAAAACCAGCCGUUACUUAACAACGUCCCUGGCAUACGAGAUACGACUGCCACAGACCAGUACCCUUUUGUUCCUACCAACUUCAACUACAGCUCAAAAGUCAAAACAACCAGUUUAAGAAAGAAUGCUUGAUUUUCCAAUGAUAAUCAUAUCCUGAACCGAUAUCACUAAAAAUAUUCGCUCCAUUAAUUUUCGUUCUUCGUUCUUAAAUUUAUGGCUUCAUUAUUAUCGAAGUCAAUCUCGCUCAAUCCAGAAAAUAACAAAAACCUAAUUCUAUUUUAUUUAAAACAAUUCAUGUAAAAUCAGCUCAAAAUGGACAAAUAUACAGUAGCAACACAAAAAACAUAAUAAUAAACAUGAUUAAAUCAUUAGAUUAAUGAUGACAAUUGACAAUCAUAUAAGUUACUUAUAUAAAAGAAAGUUAUAAAGACGAAAGACAUACAGAACGGAAGAAAAGGAGAUCGGCGACAAAAACGGAGGCGGCAGCUCCACCGGUGACGGCAAUAGUUCCGGUGAGCAUACUCCAUUUUCUGUAUAUCAUCUCUUGUGUAUCUAUAUGUAUGUAUAUCUCCUCUGCAACUUCCAAUCCUUCUCUUCUACGUUAGAUAUAUAGCAACGGGUCGUUUUGGAUCUGAAAGCAUGCCAGUUUAACCCGAUUUCUCGUUCAAACCGCGUAAAACUCGAACCAAAUUAUAAUUAAGUUGAUUCUGGGCUUUGUGGCAAAAAAAAAAAAAAAGUUAAUUCUGGGCCUCAGUGAAAUAGGCUUCUUGUUUUGACUGGUUGGGCCAUGUUUUCGUUGUUAUGGACUAAGUUUUUGUUUGCCCAAAAAGUGAAAAUAGAGUACAGUCGAUGAAGAAGCACGCCGACAGUUUGGUUGGGGUGGUUCAAAAUAGAGGAGCAGAAAGAAAUUUUAAUCAUAAUUUAGUAAUAUGUUUAAUAAUUUUGUAAAGAAACACGAUAUUUUGUGAAAGAAUUUUCCGUUUCUUCUUAUAAUUAUUUUCUACUCAAAUCUUAUCAUACAAAAUUUAUAUUCACUUAUUUUUCUUUCAAGUCUUCUCUUUAAUAUUUAUAUAUGAUAAUAUAUCUCAGAUGUUAGCAGAAAGCAAUGAGUUUAAUAAUUUAUAUAUUAUAGGUUUUCCGGCAUGUAUUUAUUCAGACACACUGACAAUCAUUUAGGUGACAAAUUUUUAUUAACAUAGAUUUUUGUGCUUAUAAAAAAAUACUGUAUUGGAUUUAGAGCAUUCAGGUAAAUUAAGAAAAGUGCUUAUUUCUUAAAGUAAAUAAGUAGGUUAAAAAUGAUAAGUAAACUAAAACUUAUAAGUUUAUAAGUGAUUAAACUGUUUAGGAAAGAAGAGAAAUUCCCGAAACAAAAGUUAAAAUUCUCAUCUUAUUAUAAGGUUAUGUUCACUUGAAUGAAAUGGAAUGGAGGGAGAAUAAAAUGAAUUUUGUACUCUAACAUGGUGUAAUUAGAGAAAAUGUCUAUAAUUUUCAUGAGUUGGGCUCUUUGGAGUCUUGUUUUUUUGGAGUACUUGGAGACUUACUCUAGAACCAUUGGAUUAUAAGAUGAAUGGAUGGCAGAUCCGAGUGACAACUGGCAUUUUCCUUUUUAAAUUAAAAAAUACUAGAUACAGCAGCGUGCAAAUCGUAUAUCUUCAUAAUCGUAUCAUCGUCUACUACGUCAUUCAAGUGACAGUUAUUACACCAUUGUUUCCCCUUAAAAUCACUCCCCUAAAAUCAAAACCAACAUCCUAAUCAGAUAAACACGAACGAUCGCUCGAGGAACACAGUGGAACCAUUGUGAUAAGUGUCCACCACUAUAAUAUUAAUGCGAAACCGAAGGAUGAGUUCAGGUCAGUUUCGUUCAAAUCGAGUUGUAAACAAGUGAAAUGCUAAUUCAUUUUGUUGAUGCGAAACCAUUGUGUCGCUCAAUUUGUACCUACAUGUCAUUUAUAUAGUGAUAAAUCGUUGGGCGAUUGUUAUUUUGCUUGUCCCUAAUCAAUUUGUAGACAAUAUGUCUGUUAAUUUGUUUUUGGGUUUUGUUCUGUAGUUUGAUUUGAAUGCUGUAGACAUGAGGACUAUAUGAAAAUGUAUUGUGGGUGUUUAUUGUUACCCGUUUAUUGGGUUUUAUCUUCAAAUUAUCAUUGUCACCCGUUUCUUGUUUUGAUUUGAGAUUUGGGAGACAAAGUUAUGGGUUAUGGGUCGAUUUUGGGGGACGGAGUAAUUGAAUUAGUUCAUGAUACGGGUGUUAAAUCAAGUAUUAGAAUCCGCCUUUGGUAAUUAGAUGUGUUCCUACGAAUUAUUAGAUUAAUGUGGGUGAACUUUCGCCCUAUCUUAUUAUUUGAAGUGGUGUUUCGUUUAUCUUUGUAAUUUGGGGGACAACCAUAAUUUUGGAAAUUAAAAUAAUUUUGCUACAAAUUGUGCCAUAACUAGUGUUUGUUGCUUGGAAAAUAACUCUGAGAGAUGAGUUGUAGUUAGAUUCCUCACUUGGUAUGUAUGUGUAUGAAAUUCAAAAAUGGUUGGAUUAAUCCACUGUAUCCCCUUAAUCUGAUGAUUGCGGUUUAAUAUAUAAUUGGAGAGGAACCACGUUUUUUGGUAAAUAUAUGUAUUGUGUUGAUUGUGGGUUAUGUUUAUUUAGUUUGAAAUUCAUGCCAAGUUCAGCAAGACUAUUUGAAAAUGUGAUAUUUGUUUAAUUGUUUAUGCUCUUUCUGUUUUGGGUUUUUCAGCGCUGUGCCUUUGUCAAUUGUUAUAAAGUCGCGGAAUGAUGAAACCAGUGGUGGGUCUGGGAGACGAUGGGCUUUAGACUAGAGCGUUCAGAUUCUCAAAGAGAUAACCAUGUUAGUGCAGGAAGAGCUAGGAGACAAAGAAGCGAGAUUUAGAUAGAGAGCGUGCAGUAGCCGAGGCAAAGUGUGGGCUAAGAAUCUGAGAGAGAAAAAGAGAGGUGGCGCAAUGGAUAAUUUUGAUGCAACAACCGAUUAAAUCUGCUGGAGCAUGGUUGUGUUGCAAUGUGAUACAUUUGAGGAUCAUCACGGAAAAAGGAGAAUAUCAUUUUCAAAAUUAUCCAAGGACUAGAUUAUGUGUCUACCUUUAGCUGUUGUUGUCAUGUAUCAUUCGUGUAGACUCUAUAGUUCAAGCUUUCGGUAUUUCAUGAUAAAGGCACAAGACAUAGCUAAAGGUGACACUAGAGGAAGUUAUCUUGUAAUUUAUGCUCGUUUUAGUAGUUACUUCAUUGUCGGUGUUGUCAUGUAUCAUUCGUGUAGACUCUAUAGUUCAAGCUUUCGGUAGGUGACACUAGAGGAAGUUAUCUUGUAAUUUAUGCUCGUUUUAGUAGUUACUUCACUGUAGAAUGUUUCAUGCACUAUGUUAAUCGAUGUGUAAUUAUGGUCUUGGUAUAGUUAAUGUUAUGCGAUGGAAAAGAGGAAGUUAUCUUGUAAUUUAUGCUCGUUUUAGUAGUUACUUCACUGUAGAAUGUUUCAUGCACUAUGUUAAUCGAUGUGUAAUUAUGGUCUUGGUAUAGUUAAUGUUAUGCGAUGAAAAGUCGGUCCAUGCUUCAGUGCUUUACUGGCUUCGUUUGGCUUGGUUUGGGUGUCACCUUGUUACAUUGUUACGUACUGUGUUAUCACAGUUCUCUUCUUGUAUGUAUUUUGAGCUGAUCAUGUUUUCGGCAUAUACAAAGAGGUUUUUCCCACCUUGUCAUAAUAUCUUUUUUCGUGUUUUGGCUUAUGCAAAUAUCCCAUCCUCGUAAUCUCUCUUUCAUAUGUAUGCCUAGGUUCUUCACUUUUUCGUAUCAAGUGCUUUGAAAGGGCUGGUGUACAUAAAAGCGUGUUCCAUUUUUGAACUUACUAAACCAAACUCUAAAUUGCAGUUGCUAUGAACAGAAAAUAAAAUUCUAGAACAAAAUUAGAAAAUUAAUUCUAGUAUAAAAUCAUUUGCAGAACAACAGAAAAAGUAUAAACUUGAAAGAAGUAAUAAAACAACUCAGAAAUGAAGGACAACUACAAAGAGCAGAACAGGGGGACAAGAUAAAGCAGAACAGGGGACAAAUUGGAGAUAAACAUGAUUGAAAACUGUCCCUAAUAUGGCGCAUGAUUCAUAAAGACCGUUAUAAUUUUUUUUAUACGGUAUAAAGAUAAGUAUAGGAAUAAGCAAGCAUAAUAUACCCAAUCCAGAAAAAAAGGAUAGUCGUUAGAUUAGAAGAAAAUGGACGGACCAGAUGGAGGACUCCAAUACUCCAAAUAAUGUUGGUCUCCACUGAACUUAAGCCUAAUUUUCAUUCAUUCAAUAAUUCAAUAGCUAUUAAUUUAACAAAAAUUCUAACCUACGUGUUUUAGAAGGAAUGAUUUUGACAAAUAAAAUCAAAAAUCUUGUUUGCCAAACAGGCCCCUGAUAAGAUGCUCACCUUUUAACUAGUAGCUACACAGUAGAAAAUUAGUCAUAAUAUAAAAUAAAGAUGGUGAAAAAAGUAAAUGAAUCUGAUAAUAUUUUAUAUUAUUAAAAUUUAUAUUUUAUUAUGUAUAGAAGUGAGGGAGAUAUUUUAAAAUUAAAUUUCCAUGGAAGUGAUUAAGUGAAUGACACACCAAAAACACUUUCAAAUUCAGAAAAUUGAAACAGAGAAAAGAAUGAUACCGUAGCAGAAGCGCACAUGUAUCUGAGAGCCGAGAGGUGAUUUCAAGCAGAAUGAAAAUGACCGAGGAAAAUACAACGAUGCAACAUAAAAUUAAUUUCAAAAUCAAAUUUAAAAAUGUUAAUAAAAAAAUAUUUUGAGUAUCCCAAAUUUCAUAUAUAUAUAUAUAUAGGCAAGUGCUCAAAUACAAACUCCUUAGUGUACAAACGUACAAACAAUCACUAAAUGACUUGAACAGAAUCACUAAAUGAUUGAACGGAAUCACUGAAUCUAUUAGAAGGGUCUGAUGCAGAGAUAAAGGGAGGGGAGUGUGUAUAGCACUAAUCGGUGAGGGAACAACCAGAGAGAGAGAGCCGCUGACAGUGGUGGUGGUGGUGAGAGAGAGAGGCGCUGGGCAAUGGUGGUUGGUGGUGGACGGUGGAGAGAGAGAGUGGCGCUGAGCAGUCGUGGUGGGUGGUGGGUGGUGGGUGGUGAGUGGUGGGUGGGGUUGUCGUGGUGGUGGUGAUUGGAGGUGAUUGUGGUGGCGGUGGUGAUGGAUAUAUGUAUGUAUGUAUUUGUUAAAAUAAAAUAUGCUAAUCGCUAAAUAUUAUUGUAAUAAUCACUAGUUUGUACGUUUGUACAGUAAGGAGUUUGUACUGAAGUAAGACCUUUUAUAUAUAUAUAUAUAUAUAUAUAUAUAUAUAUAUAUAUAUAUAGGGGUCUUCUCAGCGAGUAACCACUAUAUUUGGUAACUUGGGAACCCUUUAGAUAUAUAACUGAAUGAAUGAAUAAGAANNNNNNNNNNNNNNNNNNNNNNNNNNNNNNNNNNNNNNNNNNNNNNNNNNNNNNNNNNNNNNNNNNNNNNNNNNNNNNNNNNNNNNNNNNNNAUGUAACUUAGACAUGCAUUUUCUGUUCCAAUUUGUGCGGAUGAUAUCCAUAUAAAAAUAUUUUUGUAUGUGAAAUUUUGUAAGAAUUAUAUAUAUAUAUAUAUAUAUAUAUAUAUAUAUAUAUAUAUAUAUAUAUAUAUAUUAAUCUUAAAACAAGCUUCAAAAUUUAUCUUAAAACAAAUAUCACUUUUGCAAAUUAGUUUAAAAUAGGAUUAUAUAUUUUGAGCAAUUUCUCUUUCUUUUAUGUACCCCUAAAAUAUUAAGACGGAAAAGAAUUUAUAAUGCUUUCCUUCGUGGGAAUUCGAAAUCGCCCGGGUCAAAAAUUGCUGAUGCCGUGUUAAUAUAUGGACAUUUGCAUGAGAUUCAUGUUUCAAAUUGAUGGUGGUUUUUUUAUUUGUGAACUUUCAAUUCAACUCUUCUAUUCUCGGAUCUCAACUAAUCUUCUUCUUGUUGUAGAAACGUGGACGACUCCACAGUCUCCGUUUAUAGCUUGUCCUGUUUCUGUGGAAAGUUCUGCACAGGAAUGUUGAGCAUCUUUAUUCAGCGGUAUCUAAAAUUUUUAUAGACUUGAUUGAUUUGUUCUUAUUAAUAAAAAAUAUUAUAUUAAAGAAGUCCUCAUUUUUAGUAUAUUGCAGUAGAUUUAAACUCUUAGCAAAUUGUUACAACUAUUUAUAAAACUAGUUGAGAAGCCGCGUGAUGCGGCGGCCUAUAGAAAUUAUAUUAAUGAUUCAAUAUUAAUAUUUGUAGAAUAAAAUAAUUUUGUGGCUGUCUAUAAAAAGUAUAUAUUAAUGUUUCAAAAUUAAUUUUUGUAGGAUAAAAUAAAUUUAUAUUAUAAAAAUCUUGAUGUAAUACCAAUACCAAUAUAUAAAAUUGCAAAAUUGGACUAUAAUUGGUGAAUUUUUUCCUGUAUACAAUGUAAUCAUAUAAAAAUUAACAACAACAAACAUGUCCGAUGAACAACACAAAUAUUAUAAAAGAAUAACCAACAAACAUACAUCACUAAUAGUUAAUUUAUUGAUAUCAACCAUCAAUAUCAUGUCAAGACUAUAUUCUUUUCCCGUGUUUGGAUUUGUCGACUCCAAUAUAGCGGUCUAUAACUACCUUUGCUAGCAACAACCUUUUUAAUACUGUAUAAACAGCCUUCACUUAUCGUUGCAAAAGAACGGCACCUCCGAGUUAAAAAUCGAGCAAGAGAACUAUCACCAGAGAGGUAGGGUUGUGGUAUUGAGAGACAUGAGGUUGUGUUUAGAUGAUCCAAAACCCUACAAUUUGGGUAUUUAUAGGUGUAGAAAGACUUGUGUGCUACUCUUUUCCAUAAUUAAAUAAUCUGAAACAAAAUCAGAUUAUAAAUUUCAAGCUACUAUAUUCCAUAAAUAAUUUUUCUUUUCCAUAAUUAAAUAAUCUGAAACAAAAUCAGAUUAAAACUUUCAAGCUACUAUAUUCCAUAAAUAAUUUGAAACAAAAUCAGAUUCUGAAACUUGCUUAUAAUAUACCUGAAAAAGGUAGUUCUAAUUUUUGAUAUUUUUCAUCCAAAAAUUCCAGAAAAUUAGAAAAAUAGAACGGAGCGAUGUGAGAGGCGCCACCUACACGCCCCUCGCUUCUCCUUUAUAUAAGUAUAUUAUAGCGGUCUAUUACCUUUGCUUGCAACAACCUUUAUUUUUUUAAUACUGUAUAAACAGCCUUCACUUAUCGUUGCAGAAGAACGGCACCUCCGAGUUAAAAAUCGAGCAAGGGAACUAUCACCAGAGAGGUAGGGUUGUGGUCUUGAGAGACAGGAGGUUGUGUUUAGAUGAUCCAAAACCCUACAAUUUGGGUAUUUAUAGGUGCAGAAAGACUUGUGUGCUAUUCUUUCCUCUAAUAAAAUAAUCUGAAAUAAAAUCAGAUUAAAACUUUCAAGCUACUAUAUUCCAUAAAUAAUUUGUCUUUUCCAUAAUUAAAUAAUCUGAAACAAAAUCAGAUUAAAACUUUCAAGCUACUAUAUUCUAUAAAUAAUUUGAAAUAAAAUCAGAUUUUGAAACUUGCUUAUGAUAUACCUAAAACUAAAAAAGGUAUUUCUAAUUUUUGAUAUUUUUCAUCCAAAUAUUCCAGAAAAUUAGAAAAAUAGAACGGAGCGAUGUGAGAGGCGCCACCUACACGCCCCUCGCUUCUCCUUUAUAUAAGUAUAUUGACCGAAUAUGAAUCUCUGAUAUAAUUUCUUACAAAUUCUUCAAAAUUUUAUAGAUAUUGUUCGGAUUCUACUUCAUUAUAAAAAAAAUUAGAACACUGUUUAGCAAAAUUCAGCAUUUCAUACAUUAAAAAAACUAUAAUUGAUUUUAAGGUAUUUACCGGAAAAUUAUAAAAUUUAACACAAAAUAUCAAUGAAUAUCUUAAUGUUGCGUAAAAUACUAAUGUGCAAGUGUACACAAUCGCAAACUAGGGUUAAAAAUGGGGCGGGUUCGGGGCGGGGACUUCAUUUCCCAGCCCCGCCCCACAUAAUUUUUUCCUGCCCCAUCCCCGCCCCAUUCCCCGCGGGGAUUUAUUUUUAAUCCCCAUCCCCGCCCCACCGGGGACUUAAUAUAAUUUCGCCCCGCCCCGCCCCGCUUCUAUAAUAUUACACCUUUAAGAAUUUCAUAAAAAUAUACGAGACAUGUAUAUUAAAAGCAAAAAACUAAAUAUAAUAGAAAUCAAAUAGACAUGUUAUACAUUGUAAAAUUAUAGUUUUGUGUAUUAUAAAAUAAUAAUAUUAAAUAUAAUAAGUAUAUUAUAUUAAAUAUAAUAAAUAUAUUAUAUUAAAUAUAAUUAUUUAUUUAUAUUAAAUAUAUGCGGGGCAGGGCGGGGAAUCCCCGCGGGGAUUCAACAAAUACCAUACUUGCCCCAUAUUUUGGCGGGGCAGAAAAUCAUUCCCCGUCACUGCCCCAUUCCCCAUAUUAGCGGGGCGGAUCUGCCCCAUUCGGGGCGGGUUAGGGCGGGUUCCCCAUUUUCCCCACCCCAUUUUUAACCCUAUCGCAAACAAGUAAUAUAGUAAUAAAUACCAUAUCGUUCCUCAAGGACUAUGUAAACGUAUCAAUCACGAAUAAUAUCUAACAGUCUAGUUAUCGAACACAAUAAAUUAUUGACAGUUUUUAUAUUAAAACUAAAUUUAACCAACUAAAAUUAUACUAAAGAGCUUAACGAGUUUCAAAUAUGAGAAGAUAAGUCGGGAUAAUUACUUCCCCCUAACACAAGAAUAUCGGUAAAAGAGUCACGAAAUAUUGUAGCAAAUCACAAUUUACUAGCUAGAAUUCAAUUGUCAUAUGUUUCUCUCGAAAUCACUAUGAUAUAAUUCUUACAAAUAAACUAACAUAUGUCUAUGCCAAUUUAUUAUUCGGAAUUCAAUUAAGCAUCAAUUCACAAAGCUAUGCAUGGUCACAAUAUAUGUCUAUAUCGUAACUAAAUUAUAAUCAAAAAAUAUAAUCAUGCACCAUUCAAGUCUUGUGUCAAUUAAUCAUAACCCUCUCAGUAUUAUAAUUAACUCGAUAACCCACUAAAGUUGAUCAGACAAUAGCAAGCAUUAACAUGAAAAACACUUGAAUGAGUAAACCUCUGAUUCUGGGCUGAUUAGACCGGGAUAAAAAUGCAAGUCCACCUUUGAAUUAAAGGCCUUGUUCUAAGCUUCGUGUGGGCUCUUGAAUCGUCUUAUUUGGACUUCUAAAACUCCAGAUACGGCCCAAAUAGUGAAUACUGCGCAACUAGCCUUAAAAUUCGAAUUUUAUUCGAAUUAAACUCCAAUUCUUGCUAUUUAAACUCCAAUCCAUAUUUGAUUAGAAAUCCUUGCAUCCUACAAUAAAACAUCAAUAUUUAUUAAAUAAAAGGGAAAAUCAAUCUUUUUGUCACUCAACUAUUUUUUCCUUUAGAAACCUACCACCGAACUAAUGUUUUAAUUUUUUUUAUCACUAACGUUACUUUUGUAUUGGAUUGUACCACAUUCCGUCAAGUUUGACCUCUGACCGUUAAAUAAAGCGCCUACGUGGACAGUCUCGCUGAUGUGUUAUGCUGAUGUGUCAUACACAUAUAUUAAUAAGAGAAAAUCAUUUUUUUGUCACUCAACUAUUUUUUCUUUAAAAACCUACCACUGAACUAAUGUUUUAAUUUUUUUGAUCGCUAGCGUUACUUUAUAUAGUCGGCAAGUAUCUGUGCUAUUUCAUUGCUCCUGGCUGAGGUACUGAUAAGAAACUGAAAGUAAAAGAGACAAAUGAACUUCAUAAUAUAACACCAUGAACUUCAUAAUAUAACACCAAAAGCAAUUAUAGCAAAUGAAAUUAUAUAGUCUCAUACUUUCAUUUGCAAUUUGAUAACACAAGUCUCGUACCAAAAGAAAUUACAUAGUCUCACAGUAAAUGAAAUUACAUAGUCUCACAAUAAAUGGCUAGUACUUAAAAGGUGCAAGUCCCAUAUAUUUCGCCACGCAAAAUCACAUCUGUUGAGAUGGUUGACUUGAAUUCGCUUGUCUUUGUAUCUCCUCUGUACCCUGAUUUGGAGUGCAUGGCUGUGAGCUAGUCAAUCUAAUUGUAGUUGUUGAUGAGGACAAGUAUGUAUGUCCAUCAUCUCCAAUUAGCACUCCCAUACCAGCUGGUCUUCCACUAGUCUGAAGUUGAGUACUUGAGGCCUUCGGAGGUCUUCCCCUCCUUUUCUUUUGAGUUGAAUCCUUAGGGGGCUGUUCAUUUGAUUGUGUGUGAUCACCCGCCUUAUUUUGAACUGGCCUGCUCUUCUUUUUUGGUUGCGCUUGCUCUGAUGAGGAUGCUGUUACAGUCUACAAACAAAUACUAGGAUUAGUUAAUCACAAAUGACAAAUGACAAAUGACAAAUACAUGUAACUUAGCUAUCAUACCUGUGAUUUUUUCUGUUUUGUCAGAUUUUGUUUAUUUCUUAAGGAAUGUGCCUUUGCAGCCUCAGAUUGUGCUUUUUUAGCUUCUGCAGCCUUCCUAUGAUUCUCCUGAACCUCAGCCUCAUCUGUUUUACAAGUGGCCCUGUUGUGUCCAAUCUGCAAACACCUACUACAUUUCAUUGUAAUCCCUUUUUUUGAUAAUUUACAACCACUCCCAACUUCAUCAGCUUCCCUCCUUCUGUGUUUUUUUGGCCUUCCAGGCAUUCUCCUAGCUUUAGGAGGCAACAACUUGAUUUGUGUAGUUAUAGGCCACUCCUUGCUUCCUUUCAUUGGGCUCAUCAAAUAUGAGUAUGCUUUCAAAUAAGUAGUCUUCUUAUAACAAUCAUGUACAAAUUGUUCAGGCUGAGCAUUGAUACUCAUUAUGGCUUGACAUGCAUGACUACACGGAAUUCCCGUUAAAUCCCAUCUCCUGCAACUACAAGUUCUAUUCUUCAUAUCCACCUCAUACUGAUUACCCUCUAUAUCCUUAACUUCACACUUAUCUCCACCAUCCCAAGUUGAUGUACACAUCUUUGACCCCUCAAUGCUCCAGUUAAGCUUUCUAAUUAUCCUAGGGCAUAGUUCAUCGUCCGGCAUUCGACUAGCCCAAAGCUCCCACUUGCAUCCAUCUCUACACUUAGCUUGCAUUCUCUUGAAAUCUGAUAUUUUCAAAUAAACUCUCCUUUGUUUAGCCACGCCAUAAUUUCUUAUAGCAUCUCUCAAAUGCUCCCUUGAAGUGAAGAUCAUACCAGCCUCAAACUCAAUAUGCUCUAUAGGUGUGCUUGGAUUAAAGGUUGGAUAUUGUCUCACGUGUUUUUUCUUACUCUUCUUUUUCUUCACACCUAUGUUGUCAACUUCUUCAUAGUCACUUGAAUCAGUAGAUUGACGACUUGGCACGUCAAAUGAAUCACUGUCCUCUUUCUCUUCAAAGUUUUUAUCUACCUUUUCACAUCCAAGUUCUUGAUUAUCAUCGAACUUGGGAAAAUUUUUUGCCAACAUGUCAUAUUCAUGCUGCACAAGGUUCCUCCAUUCAGGCAUUUCCCCAAAAAAAUCAUCAUCCUCUGUUGUUCUCUCUGUCUCUUGCCUCUCAUGUCUCUCAUGCGGUUCUUCCACCACUUGCUCCGCUGUAACAUUAUUACUACCAUUGUUAAUGUGCAUUUCAGUUAGACUACCAUCCCUUAAAGGAUCAAUCUUUCCAUCCCUUAACAUUCUUUUCUUCUCUCUAAUUUCCUCUAAUUCUUCAUCAAAAUCUGAUUCUACAUCAUAAUCAUCACCCGAUAAAAUUUCCUCAUCAGUGCUAUCCUCACUAUCAUCAUCUUUUUCAGUUGCAGGAUCAUCUAAUUCGUCACCAUCAUCUACCUCAUUCAAAUCAUGUUCAGCACUAAAAUUAACAUCUUUUUUCUUCUCUUCAGCACAAUGAUCAGCGUAUAUUGAAAUAACACCAUAUUUUAUUGCAUCUAAACGCAUCUCUUUAAUCGAAUCAAAAUUCCACAAUAAUUUAUAAGCUUCUUUACUUAUGGUCAGAGGCUUCUUGUAAUAAAUUUUAAGACCAGUUCCAUAUCCAACAUCAUCUAAAUAAGCCAAGAAACGCUCUAAUAAUAGGUCACUAACAUCAACCCCAUAGAUAGUAGCACAUGUACCUCCUUUGUAGUAAUAUAUUCCUUCUUUAGUUUUGAACUCACCCCCAUGAUAUAUCUCGAGCUUGACGGUGUCCAUUUAACCUACGUAAAGGUUAGUCAAGAAAAUGAUUAGAACAGUGAAUAUAAUAUCGAUUACAUAACAUAGUAACAAGAUAAUGCAAGUUUUUGACUUAAUCAUACCGUGAAUGCAGUAUCGUGAUUGAAUGAAAAACCCUUAGAAAGACAUCUUCGAGAAAGAGGGGUUUUGUGCGAUCAGGGAAAUGAGGGUUUUGUUUGAUCAGGUUAAUCGUGUACAGAGGGUGUGUGUUUUUGUUAUGUGUUGGACUGUUGGUCUUUUCUUUCUAUUUAAUUACUAAAUUAUAAUUAUAAUAUUACAUGUAAGCAGCCACGUGUCAACAUACCGCCAUGCUGGAAUACAUAAUAACGUCCGUUAAUUAUUUUUAACGGAGUACUUAGUUACUAAUAGAAUAAUUAGUACAGUUCUAAGUAUACGAGGUUUUAUUGUUCGGUGGUAGGUUUCUAAAGGAAAAAAUAGUUGAGUGACAAAAAGAUUGAUUUUCCCUAAAUAAAAAUCCAAUUAAAUACAAAAUAACUAAAAUACAGGGACAAUAUUAAGAUAAAAUGCACGCUUAUCACUUAAAUUUUAAAAUAUCUUUUUCGCUCCUCAUUAAAUAUUUCCAGAUUGUUAAUUAAUGGGAAAAUAGAUUUUUUUGCCACCCAACUUAUUAUUUGUUUAGAAACCUAUCACUGAACUAUAAUUUUUUUCUUUUUUGCCACUAAUGUUAGGUUCGGAUUUUUUUUGUCACCAAUGCUAGGUUCGGAUUUGAUUAUUACCACUGAACUAUAAAUUUUUUCUUUUUUGCCACUAAUGUUGGGUUCGAUUUUUUUUUGUCACUAUCGCUAGGUUCGGAUUUGAUUAUUAACACUAUGUUAUUCUAUUUUUCCGACCAUCUAAACGAUAUUUUUCGGAAAUCUAAUGGUGAUUUGUGUCUAUAUCUUUAUAUGCAGUACUCCAUAUGUGUCCUAGGUAGUUUAUCUUGAAGGACGAGAGUACGGAUUUAUUUACUCAGAAAGGAAAUCUCAAAAUUAACUUAUUGAACUAUAUUUAUAAGAAGUGAGAACCUUAAAAUACGUGACAAGUAGUGGUAAAGAACUAUAAUAUAUUUUGUGGAGUCUUAAUUUAUAAAACUAAAUUUUUUAGGUUCUUAAAAUGCCAGUUAAACUCUCGUACUUCAAGGUAAAUUAGCUAGGGGACAUAUAGAUGAUCGUAUAUAAUGUUAUAGACACAUAUCAUAUCACCAUUAUAUUGAAGACUACCACUAUGUUUUUAUAAUGUUAAAAAAAUAACAUAUUGUUAAUAAUCAAAUCAAAACAUAACGUUAGCGACAAAAAAAAUCCAAUGUUUCUUUAUGGAAAAAAAAACCAACACUAAAUUUUAUUCUGAAAAAAUAAAAUAAAAUAAUUUUUGAAAUUUUUAGGAGUCUCAAAAUGCGUGUCCAACUCUCGUCCUCUAAGGUAAACUACCUAGGACACUACAUAUAAAGAUAUAGACACAUAUCAGAUCGCCAUUAUAUUACAGACUAACACUAUAUUUUAAUAAUGCUAAAAAAAUAACAUAGUGUUAAUAAUCAAAUCCGAACCUAACGUUAGUGACAAAAAAAAGGUCCGAACCUAACAUUAGUGACAAAAAAGAAAAAAAUUAUAGUUCAGUGGUAGGUUCCUAAACAAAUAAUAAGUUGGGUGGCAAAAAAAUCUAUUUUCCCUUAAUUAAUAACAUAAAGCUUCAUUGACGGGAGCUUAAUUCCAAAGAGACGCGGUUCGGAGUCUUCGGACAAGUAAAAGAAGUUGCUUCUACCAUGACAUAAGGCUUAUGUUGGUUUUGACAUCACAGCACACCACUGUACUAAAUUUCUCUCUCAUCUAUUAUCAGAAAGACAGAAAUAUGUGUACAUCAGCGUGGACAUCACCACCACGUGGACCUGCCUCGCCUAGGAGGCCUUCCUCAGUUUCAUCUGUCGAAUCCGGAAUCCCCCACAACCUUAUUUAAUAAAUUAACAGCUACGGGAUAUUGUAUUUACUUUUAAAUUUAUUCCCAAAAGUGUUACAGAAAUCGGGGAUCGGACCUAAUCGGUUGAGCUACUGAUUCAAGGAUUAAUCGGAAAUCGGGGAUUAAUCGUAAGGAUUAAUCGGUGGGAAAAUCGGAUUUAUUUUAAUAUUAAAAUAUUAUUUAAUAUUUAGUUAUUAUUAUAUUAGCUAUUUAGUAACUAAUAUAUCUACUAUAUUCAUAAACUUUAUAAUUACUCAUAUUUAAAGUGAUAUAAUAUUUUAAUUCUAAUAAUUUAUUAUAUAUAUUUCAAUUAAGAAAUGUAUAUAAGGAUUAAUCGGAUUUCAAAAAUCGGAUCGGUGACCGACCUUGUAGGGGAUUAAUCGGGGAUUAAUCGGUUAAAUCGGGGAUUUUUAGAACACUGGACUUAUAAGUUAUAAGCUGAAAGAUGCGAGAAAGAACCUAUUACAAUAAUACAAUAUCUGUCUCAUAAUUUGAUGCUAAUUUGACCACGUGUGUAAAAAAUAAUGGGUGGUGUUUUCAACUUUAAUAUAUUAAUUUUUAUUUGCAAAUUUAGCGAGUUAUAAAUAAUCAUGAAUCUAAAUUGUAUUAGAAUCAGAUAAAAUCUUGUGAAUUUUGUUACUAGAUUUUCUGAAAUUUAGGUCCAAUAUUUAAAAUCUCAGAAACUAUGAAAAGAUUUUGAAAGUACAUUCACUCUAAAUUAUUGAGUAUUUGUUUUUUUGAUUUUGAUAUCCAAAUAAAUUAAAUUUGAAAAUUUUAAAAAUAAAUUAUAAUUAUAACACUCUUGAGUCUUGACUAUCAUUUAAAUUCAACGACGGUACAAUCUGAUCGACGUUCAAAGAUACUUGACUAUCGUUAAAUUCAUGAACCGAUAUGUCUCGGAUGUUUGAUAAAACCGAAUUAGAUAUCAAAUUAUGAUUUUGAAUUAUUCAAACAAACAAGUUGAUAUAUGAUAAAUAUUUUAAGUUAUUUAUAAAACCCGUCAAAUAUCGACCUAUUUUAUAAAUAUGAUAACCUUAAAUAAAUCCCCAUAUCAGAAAUCUGAAUUGAAUAUUGCACGCACCACAUCACUGUUCAAUCUCGUAUAUAAAUAAAGUAGCUACACAUCUUUUUGUUUCAUUCACACAAAUACAUUACCAUUCUCCUCUCAUUUCACAAUAUUCAGCUGCAAAUUUGCAAUGGCGAGAGCCUCUCACAUAGCCAUUUUCCCCACCCCUGGAAUGGGUCAUCUCAUUCCCCUCGUCCAGUUUGCUAAACGACUCAUAACCCUUCACAAAUUCACCGCAACUUUUAUUGUACCUACUGAUGGACCUCUUUCUAAAGCUCAACAAAAAUUUCUCGACUCGUUGCCUAAUGGUUUAGACUAUGUUGUUCUUCCCCCUGUUAAUGUUGAUGAUUUGCCCAAUGAUGUUAUGAUCGAAACACGAAUGUCGAUUUUGAUCUCGAGGUCUUUGCCUUCGCUUCGUGACGAGUUUGAAUCGUUACAUGCAACCAAGAAGUUGGCGAGCUUUGUUGUUGAUCUUUUUGGCACGGAUGCACUUGAUGUUGCUAUUGAAUUUAAGGUGUCACCUUAUAUAUUUUUUCCUUCAACUGCUAUGGGCUUGUCAUUGUUUUGUUAUCUGCCUAAGCUUGAUGAAAUGACGAGUUGUGAGUAUAGAGACUUGCCGGACCCGGUUCAGAUUCCCGGGUGUAUUCCGGUUCAUGGGAGGGAUCUGCUGGACCCGGUUCAGGAUAGGAGGAAUGAGGCUUAUAAGUGGGUGCUUCAUCAUGCAAGGAGGUAUAGUUUGGCUGAAGGGGUCAUGGUGAAUAGCUUCAUGGACUUGGAGGGGGGAGCUAUUAAAGCUUUACAGGAAUUGGGUAGGCCGCCGGUUUACCCGGUUGGACCGCUCAUUCAGAGGGAUCAGUUAAGUACUGGUGCUGAUGGGUUGGAUUGUUUAAGGUGGUUGGAUGGUCAGCCUUGUGGUUCUGUUUUAUUUGUCUCUUUUGGUAGUGGGGGAACUCUGACGGCUAAUCAGAUCACUGAGUUGGCCUUGGGAUUGGAAAUGA
rnacentral:lncRNA from 1 species